rnacentral:rRNA from 1 species
GAUGAACGCUGGCGGCGUGCCUAAUACAUGCAAGUCGAGCGAACAGAUGAGGAGCUUGCUCCUCUGACGUUAGCGGCGGACGGGUGUGUAACACGUGGAUAACCUACCUAUAAGACUGGGAUAACUUCGGGAAACCGGAGCUAAUACCGGAUAAUAUAUUGAACCGCAUGGUUCAAUAGUGAAAGACGGUUUUGCUGUCACUUAUAGAUGGAUCCGCGCCGCAUUAGCUAGUUGGUAAGGUAACGGCUUACCAAGGCAACGAUGCGUAGCCGACCUGAGAGGGUGAUCGGCCCCACUGGAACUGAGACACGGUCCAGACUCCUACGGGAGGCAGCAGUAGGGAAUCUUCCGCAAUGGGCGAAAGCCUGACGGAGCAACGCCGCGUGAGUGAUGAAGGUCUUCGGAUCGUAAAACUCUGUUAUUAGGGAAGAACAAAUGUGUAAGUAACUAUGCACGUCUUGACGGUACCUAAUCAGAAAGCCACGGCUAACUACGUG